rnacentral:sRNA from 1 species
GCUGGGUGUGGUGGCGGGCACCUGUAAUCCCAGCUACUUGGGAGGCUGAGGCAGGAGAAUUGCUUGAACCCAGGAGGCAGAGGUUUCAGUGAGCUGAGAUUACGCCACUGCACUCCAGCCUGGGCGACACAGCAAGACUCUGUCUCAA